rnacentral:rRNA from 1 species
AUUGAACGCUGGCGGCAGGCCUAACACAUGCAAGUCGAGCGGAUGAAGGGAGCUUGCUCCUGGAUUCAGCGUCGGACGGGUGAGUAAUGCCUAGGAAUCUGCCUGGUAGUGGGGGAUAACGUCCGGAAACGGGCGCUAAUACCGCAUACGUCCUGAGGGGGAAAGUGGGGGAUCUUCGGACCUCACGCUAUCAGAUGAGCCUAGGUCGGAUUAGCUAGUUGGUGGGGUAAAGGCCUACCAAGGCGACGAUCCGUAACUGGUCUGAGAGGAUGAUCAGUCACACUGGAACUGAGACACGGUCCAGACUCCUACGGGAGGCAGCAGUGGGGAAUAUUGGACAAUGGGCGAAAGCCUGAUCCAGCCAUGCCGCGUGUGUGAAGAAGGUCUUCGGAUUGUAAAGCACUUUAAGUUGGGAGGAAGGGCAGUAAGUUAAUACCUUGCUGUUUUGACGUUACCAACAGAAUAAGCACCGGCUAACUUCGUG